rnacentral:rRNA from 1 species
UACAGAGGGUGCGAGCGUUAAUCGGAAUUACUGGGCGUAAAGCGCACGUAGUCGGCUUUGCAAGUCGGGUGUGAAAUCCCCGGGCUCAACCUGGGAACUGCAUCCGAGACUGCAUUGCUAGAGUAUGGGAGAGGGAAGCGGAAUUUCUGGUGUAGCAGUGAAAUGCGUAGAGAUCAUGAGGAAGACCAGUGGCGAAGGCGGGUCUCUGGACAGUUCCUGACAGCUGAGGCAACGAAGGCCCAGGGGAGCAAACGGG